rnacentral:lncRNA from 10 species
UCCAAGGCUGGGCUACUGAUCAUCCUCUUCCUACAGACGAGAGACUGCAGGCCUGGAGAUGGCACAGCCUGCUCAGGCCACACGGCCUGCAGGUGGCACUGCACUGCAGCAGCCGGGGACGGGCCUCACGUCCUCAGUGCCCCGUGAUGUCAUUUCAGUGUCGGAGCAGGGAGGGACCUGCUUGUUUUAGAGAAGGGGGUUCACCUGGGACACCCCUGAGCUUUGUCCCAAGCCUCAACAAGCCACUCACUUCCCACUUGGGAGUAGUUUCUCUGCACGCACCAGGCAGUGGGACCAGGGAAGAAAUCGCGUCCGCUAAGUGGUGUCGUCUGCCUGCAAGACCUGCACAGCUCCCAGGCCUAUGGCUUUGGGCACCAGGUGCUGGGCCGGCGUCUGGAAAUGAUUAAUUCCCUUUGGAGAGAAAAACAUCACAGCUGCGUGGCCCUUCCCGGUCCUGGGCGUGGGGCGGGAGGCAGCCGUGCCCGGGAUUUCGCGCUGCCCCCGGCGUCUCCUUCCCCGUGCUUUUGUGACUUGAUCAGGGUAGAUUUAUUUUCCGAUCCACUGGUUUGUCAACAUGUCAAUUGACUUGCCUCCAUCUGCUUUUUCCCCAUGCCAGGACGGUGCCGGCUGAAAGGGAAGUGUCAGCUGUUCUUCUGUCUUUAAAAGGCAGCAAAGAAAAAAGCGCAGGGUUGGGUUUCGUAACGUCAGAGGAGGCCAAGGACACAGCAUGGAGUCUGACGGGAAACGCAUGUGGGCGAGGAGGUGAUGGGCUUCAAGGCGCGGCUCUCUGGUCGCAAGCCGCCUGUUCUCAGAAUACAGCUGGCUGUGUUGUAAUCGCACGCUGAUCUCACAAUAAAUAACGUGUGCAUGGAACGUGCCUUCAGAU